rnacentral:lncRNA from 1 species
UUCUCCUUUCUCCUCUAUUCCUUUCUUCUUCUCCUCUUCUUUUUCUUCUUUUUUUCUCUUCUUAUUUAUUUCUCCUCUUCUUCCUCUCCUCUUUUUCUCCUUUCUUCCUCUUCUUAUUUUCCUUUUUCCUCUCAUUCUUUUAGUAUUGCUUGUUUUAAAAAAAAUGUUCAAAUAGAAAAUUUCGAAAAAAACAAAGGUUUUGCCUAAUGCAUUGUUCAUAUGAAUAUACAAACAUUUGCAUAUUCUACAAUAAUUAAUAUCAACAAAAAAAAUCUAUGAACAGAAACCAACUUUUCUAAAAAUCUAUCUUUUGCAUAUAUGAAAACAUUAAUACACAUAUGAACAAUAAAUACAUAUAUCAAUAAAAACAUAAUCUGAACAAUUUUUAAACAUUACAUACACAUAGCCACAUACGUACACAUAUAUACAAAAAAACUAAACUAAUAAAAAUGAAAAAAAACAGAGCCGCAUAUAUAUAUAUAGCCACAUANNNNNNNNNNNNNNNNNNNNNNNNNNNNNNNNNNNNNNNNNNNNNNNNNNNNNNNNNNNNNNNNNNNNNNNNNNNNNNNNNNNNNNNNNNNNNNNNNNNNNNNNNNNNNNNNNNNNNNNNNNNNNNNNNNNNNNNNNNNNNNNNNNNNNNNNNNNNNNNNNNNNNNNNNNNNNNNNNNNNNNNNNNNNNNNNNNNNNNNNNNNNNNNNNNNNNNNNNNNNNNNNNNNNNNNNNNNNNNNNNNNNNNNNNNNNNNNNNNNNNNNNNNNNNNNNNNNNNNNNNNNNNNNNNNNNNNNNNNNNNNNNNNNNNNNNNNNNNNNNNNNNNNNNNNNNNNNNNNNNNNNNNNNNNNNNNNNNNNNNNNNNNNNNNNNNNNNNNNNNNNNNNNNNNNNNNNNNNNNNNNNNNNNNNNNNNNNNNNNNNNNNNNNNNNNNNNNNNNNNNNNNNNNNNNNNNNNNNNNNNNNNNNNNNNNNNNNNNNNNNNNNNNNNNNNNNNNNNNNNNNNNNNNNNNNNNNNNNNNNNNNNNNNNNNNNNNNNNNNNNNNNNNNNNNNNNNNNNNNNNNNNNNNNNNNNNNNNNNNNNNNNNNNNNNNNNNNNNNNNNNNNNNNNNNNNNNNNNNNNNNNNNNNNNNNNNNNNNNNNNNNNNNNNNNNNNNNNNNNNNNNNNNNNNNNNNNNNNNNNNNNNNNNNNNNNNNNNNNNNNNNNNNNNNNNNNNNNNNNNNNNNNNNNNNNNNNNNNNNNNNNNNNNNNNNNNNNNNNNNNNNNNNNNNNNNNNNNNNNNNNNNNNNNNNNNNNNNNNNNNNNNNNNNNNNNNNNNNNNNNNNNNNNNNNNNNNNNNNNNNNNNNNNNNNNNNNNNNNNNNNNNNNNNNNNNNNNNNNNNNNNNNNNNNNNNNNNNNNNNNNNNNNNNNNNNNNNNNNNNNNNNNNNNNNNNNNNNNNNNNNNNNNNNNNNNNNNNNNNNNNNNNNNNNNNNNNNNNNNNNNNNNNNNNNNNNNNNNNNNNNNNNNNNNNNNNNNNNNNNNNNNNNNNNNNNNNNNNNNNNNNNNNNNNNNNNNNNNGUUUUGUUUUCUGCAUUAUUUAUUUUCUUUUGUUUUUUGCUUUAUUUUUAAAUUCUUUUUGCUUUUAGUUUUAGGAAAAUUAUAAACUUUCUGUUAGUGCCAUUACUUUUCAAAUUUGAAAACACUUUUUUUUGUUUUCUUUCUUGCUUUAUUUUUUUAUUUUGUUUCUACUUACAACAAAAUACUUAUUCUUGCUAUUUUUAAUUAUUACGAGGGCCGAACCAUAAGACAUUAAAGCAUUUCAAAUGAACUCUGAAAAAGUUGAAAGUUGGCAUGGUAUCAUAAAUUGACCCACACAUAGCAUGUGCAUGUACAAAACGAACAAUGGUAUCAUACUCGUCAGUUACAAAGUUGGCAUGGUAUAUAUCAUCAUAAUAGUUGCGGGAGAAAGUCUUCACUUUUUCUUCGCUUGUGUCAUUUCCUUAUUGCGCCGUAACCAUGGAUAAUCUUCAUCGUUUAUCAGGAUGCUGGGGUCAGCCUUGACUUUAAAGGGAGGAAUUUCAUGAAACUUUUCAUAAUCUUCAGACAUGUCUGUCUUGUCCUCCACUCCCACGAUGUCCCUUUUUCCUGAAAGAACUAUGUGGCGCUUUGGCUCAUCGUAUGAUGUAUUUACUUCCUUAUCUUUUCUCUUUCUCGGUCUACUGGACAUGUCCUUCACAUAGAUAACCUGUGCCACAUCAUUGUCUAGGACGAACGGUUCGUCAGUGUACCCAAGAUUUUUCAGAUCCACUGUUGUCAUUCCGUACUGUGGGUCUACUUGUACCCCGCCUCCUGACAGAUUGACCCAUUUGCACUUAAACAAAGGGACCUUAAAAUCAUGUCCGUAGUCAAGUUCCCAUAUGUCCACUAUGUAACCAUAAUAUGUGUCCUUUCCCCUCUCGGUUGUUGCAUCAAAGCGGACACCGCUGUUUUGGUUGGUGCUCUUUUGAUCUUGGUCAAUCGUGUAAAAUGUAUUCCCAUUUAUCUCGUAUCCUUUCCAAAUCAAUACAGUCAAAGAUGGUCCCCUGGAUAACAAGUACAACUCCUCACAAACAGUGCUGUCACCUCUGAUACGUGCUUCCAACCAACUGCUGAAAGUCCUGAUGUGUUCACAUGUAAUCCAGUCGUCGCACUGCUCCGGGUGUUUGAAGCGCAGACUGUUCUUGUGUUCAUCGACAUACGGGGUCACCAAGGUAGAGUUCUGUAGAACUGUGUAGUGGGCUUGAGACCAAGAAUAUCCGUCCCUGCAUAUUAUUGAGUCCUUUCCAAGCGUGCCUUUUCCAGUCAGUCUCCCCUCAUACCGCGAUUUAGGGAGACCUAUCUUCUUAAGGCCAGGAAUGAAGUCAACACAAAACCCGAUGACAUCCUCUGUUUGAUGGCCCAUGGAGAUGCUUCCUUCUGGCCUAGCGCGGUUACGGAUAUAUUUCUUUAGGACUCCCAUGAACCUCUCAAAGGGGUACAUAUUGUGUAGAAAUACGGGGCCCAGAAUGACAAUCUCGUCAACUAGAUGAACUAGAACGUGCGUCAUGAUAUUGAAGAAGGAUGGUGGGAACACCAGCUCGAAACUGACAAGACAUUGCACCACAUCACUCCUUAGCCUUGGUAUGGUUUCUGGAUCGAUCACCUUCUGAGAUAUUGCAUUGAGGAAUGCACAUAGCUUCACAAUGGCUAAUUGGACGUUUUUCGGUAGAAGCCCCCUCAAUGCAACCAGAAGCAGUUGCGUCAUAAUCACGUGGCAGUCAUGAGACUUUAGGUUCUGAAACUUUUUCUCUGCCAUAUUUAUUAUUCCUUUUAUAUUCGACGAGAAGCCAGUCGGGACCUUCAUACUAAGCAGGCAUUCAAAGAAGAUUUCCUUCUCUUCUUUGGUAAGAGCAUAGCUGGCAGGACCUUCAUACUGCUUUGGAGGCAUGCCGUCUUUUUCGUGCAAACGUUGCAGGUCCUCUCGUGCCUCAGCUGUAUCUUUUGUCUUCCCAUACACGCCCAAGAAGCCUAGCAGGUUCACGCAAAGGUUCUUCGUCACGUGCAUCACGUCGAUCGAAGAGCGGACCUCUAGGUCUUUCCAAUAGGGUAGGUCCCAAAAUAUAGAUUUCUUCUUCCACAUGGGUGUGUGUCCCUCAGCGUCACUCUGAACAGCUAGUCCGCCGGGACCCUUUCCAAAGAUUACGUGUAAAUCAUUGACCAUAGCAAGUACAUGAUCACCGGUACGCAUGGCGGGCUUCUUCCGGUGAUCUGCCUCGCCUUUGAAAUGCUUGCCUUUCUUUCGACAUUGAUGGUUGGUCGGAAGAAAUCGACGAUGGCCCAGGUACACAUUCUUCUUGCAGCUUGCCAGGUAUAUACUAUCGGUGUCAAGUAAACAGUGCGUGCAUGCGUGGUAUCCCUUGUCUGUCUGUCCUGAAAGGUUACUGAGAGCGGGCCAAUCGUUGAUGGUCACGAACAACAACGCCUUUAGGUUAAAUUCCUCCUGUUUGUGCUCAUCCCACGUACGUACACCGUUUCCAUUCCACAGCUGUAAAAGUUCUUCAACUAAUGGCCUUAGGUACACAUCAAUGUCAUUGCCGGGUUGCUUAGGGCCUUGGAUGAGAACUGGCAUCAUAAUGAACUUCCGCUUCAUGCACAUCCAAGGAGGAAGGUUAUACAUACAUAGAGGCACGGGCCAGGUGCUGUGAUUGCUGCUCUGCUCCCCGAAAGGAUUAAUGCCAUCCGCGCUUAAAGCAAACCAUACGUUCCUUGGUUCACUUGCAAACUCAUCCCAGUACUUUCUCUCGAUUUUUCUCCACUGCGACCCGUCAGCGGGUGCUCUCAACUUCCCGUCUUUCUUACGGUCCUCACUGUGCCAUCGCAUCAACUUGGCAUGCUCUCCGUUUCUGAACAGACGUUUCAACCGUGGUAUUAUAGGAGCAAACCACAUCACCUUCGCAGGAACCCUCUUCCUGGGGGGCUCGCCGUCAACAUCACCAGGGUCAUCUCGUCUGAUCUUAUAUCGUAAUGCACCGCAUACCGGGCAUGCGUUCAGAUCCUUGUACGCACCGCGGUAGAGGAUGCAGUCAUUAGGGCAUGCAUGUAUCUUCUGCACCUCCAAUCCUAGAGGGCAUACGACCUUCUUUACUGCGUAUGUACUGUUGGGCAAUUCGUUAUCCUUUGGAAGCUUCUUCUUCAAUAUUUUAAGUAGCUUCUCAAAUCCUUUAUCAGGCACAGCAUUCUCUGCCUUCCACUGCAGCAAUUCCAGUACGGUACCGAGCUUUGUGUUGCCAUCUUCGCAAUUGGGGUACAACCCUUUUUUGUGGUCCUCUAGCAUGCGAUCGAACUUCAGCUUCUCCUUUUGACUUUCGCAUUGCGUCCUUGCAUCGACAAUGACCCGGCGGAGAUCAUCAUCAUCGGGCACAUCGUCUGGUUCCUCUUGAUCUUCAGCAGCUUCUCCCGUUGCAGCAUCAUCGUGCACAUCGUCUGGUUCCUCUUGAUCUUCUGGAGCAUCACCGUAUUCAGGGGGCACAUAGUUGUCAUCGUACUCUUCUUCUUCGCCGUCUUCCAUCAUAACCCCUAUUUCUCCGUGCCUCGUCCAAACAUUAUAGUGUGGCAUGAAACCCUUGUAAAGCAAGUGGGUGUGGAGGAUUUUCUGGUCAGAGUAAGACUUCGUAUUCCCACAUAUAGGGCAUGGACAACACAUAAAACCAUUCUGCUUGUUUGCCUCAGCCACUUCGAGAAAAUUAUGCACGCCCUUAAUGUACUCGGAGGUGUGUCUUGAACCGUACAUCCAUUGCCGGUUCAUCUGUGUGCAUUAUAUAUAAUUAAGUGUGUCAAAAAUCAUUAGAGAACAUCAUGAAUAGAUAAUUAAUUAAGUGACCAAAUUAAUAGAAGUUCAUCAUCACAUUAAAACCAAAGUACAUACAUAGUUCUCAUCUAACAACAUAAAGCUCUGCAGAGCAUCUAAAUUAAUUAAACCAUACACUGAAACUAUGUAAAACAUUUCAAUGCGAAAACAAAUGCAAUCAUAAUCGCAACCAAUGUAACAACUGAUCCAACGGCAUAAUGAUACCAAGCCUCGGUAUGAAUGGCAUAUUUUCUAAUCUUUCUAAUCUUCAAGCGCAUUGCAUCCAUCUUGAUCUUGUGAUCAUCGACGACAUCCGCAACAUGCAAAUCCAAUAUCAUCUUCUCCUCCUCAAUUUUUCUAAUUUUUUCCUUCAACAAAUUGUUUUCUUCUUCAACUAAAUUUAACCUCUCGACAAUAGGGUCGGUUGGAAUUUCUGGUUCAACAACCUCCUAGAUGAAUAAAAUCUAUGUCACGUUGGUCGGCAUAAUUGUCAUAAACAAUAAAUGAACCAAUAGUUAUGAAAAGAUAAUAUAUACCACAUCCGAAUCAUAGACAUGACGAGGGCCGACGGGGGCGGAUACCAAAACCAUCGCACUAUAUAAGAUGCAAUAAUAAAAGUAAGAAAAUUAUACAAGUAUAUAUCUAUCUAAACAUAUAAAUAAGAAUAUUUUUCCUUUCGGAAAGAAGAUAAGAACAAGAGGCUCACCACGGUGGUGCCGGCGAUGAGAUCGGUGCGGGUGAUCGACGACGUUGAAGACGGGGACGGGGCGUGACGGACCGCUAAACCUAGACAAAUAUGGAGGAAAAUGGAGCUUGGCGGUCGAGCUUGGAGAGGAGAAACCUUAAGUAGUAUGGCUCGGGCAUUCCAUCGAACACCUUGUGUGCAUAUGAGGUGAGCUAGAGCACCACCAAGCCCUCUCCCCCCUCGGCCAGAAAAAACAGAGCAGUGUGCUCUGCUCUUGCACGAGGGGGUAUAUAUAGGCACCACCAUUGGUCCUGGUUGGUGGCAUGAACCGGGACUAAAGGUUGGCCUUUGAUCCCGGUUGAUCGCCCGAACCGGGACCAAUGGUGGUGGGCCAGGAGUGAGGCCCAUUGGUCCCGGUUCAUCCCACCAACCGGGACCAAAAGGUCCAGACGAACCGGAACCAAUGGCCCACGUGGCCCGGCCGGCCCCCGGGGCUCAUGAACCGGGUCCGAUGCCCCCAUUGGUCCCGGUUCUGGAUUGAACCGGGACUAAUGGGCUGGACCGGCCUAGACCAUUGCCCCCUUUUCUACUAGUGAAAGCAGAAUAGGCAGAAUAUAAGUGUGGGAAACUAUAGAACAAUAACAACACUUGUAAUGUGCAUGACAUAAGAACAUAAUUUUUUAUUCAAUUGAAACUGAAAUCAACAUAGAGCAAGUUACAACAGCAAACCAGUUAAAGAAAUAGGUUUAAAACAUACAUGUUGCGCCAUUGGAGUUUCAAUUCCAUCCUUCAAAUUUGAAAAUAGAUGGUAUGAGUAAAUACAGUGAUGCAAGAGCAAAGGAGUAUGAACCAGAGGUACAAAACCUGACCUAAGAACAAUUCUUCUUCUCCUUUAAGCGUUUAGUUAGGAUUUGGAGUGGUGGGCCUCAUGCUUUGGGAACUGUAGUUCCCUUACUAACUGCUCGUGUUUGGGUGCUCUAUGGUGGAGACGAUGUUGUGUCAACUGGAACUGGUUUACUAUCUGCUGGGGUUGGGGUUAGAAGGGGUGUAGCUAGUUCUCUGUCCAACUGGGUAGGGGUACAAUCUGCGAGAAUCUGGGUUAUGUGUGUUGGGGCUGGUUCUUGGGCAAGUACUACCAUUGUUCUAUCCGCAUCAACUGGUAGCACUAUCUUUUCUGAAGACUGUGUUGUUACUCCCUUGGAUACUGCCAUCACCCUCUCCAAUUCAAGUGAAUGAUAAACAAGAAAAGUAAUUGAAUGUACAGACAUUGUAUGAUAGACAGGUGCAAUGGAUAGUGGGAAAUAUUAGAGGGCAUGAAAUAAUUCACAUUUAUGUUGUCUAACCAAACAAGAUAGCACGACACAAUUUCACAUAUAUGAUGGCUAACUAAACAGGAUAGCAUGACACAAUUUCACAUUAUGAUGGCUAACUAAAAAAGAUGGAAAGACAUAGUUCAAAAUAUGAUGACUAUGUAAACAAGAUGACAUGAUAUAACUAUAUAAUGUGUUUAUUAAAUAGGUUGGCAUGCCAUAAUUCACAUACAUGCUGCCUAUGGAAACAUGAUACCAUGAUAUAAUUCACGGAUAGAAUGACAUAAUUCAGAAUAUGACUGUAAACACUAAACAGGAUGAGAUGAUAUAACUAUAUGAUGUCUUUAUUAAAUGGGUUGCCAUGCCAUAAUUCAGAUAGAUGCUGUGUAUGUAAACAUGAUGGCAUGAUAUAAUUCAAAUAUAUGAUUUAUAUAGUAAGCAAGUAAGCAGAUGGCAAAAUACAUAUAUGAUGUAAAAACUAAGCAAUGCAGGACAACAUGCAUGACAUGGGUAAUAUAACCCUGCCAAGUUUGAGCAUAGACCUCAGGGGGGAAAUAGGAUUGGUCAUAAGUCUCUGGAUCCUCCUCUGAGGAGCUCUCUGUAACUAGCAAGAUGUCUGCUUCAGCAGGUAGCAUUGUUUGCUCUGAAUACCUUGUUUUCACUCCAGAUACUUCCAUCACCGCUUCAAAUGGCUGAUGCACAUGAAGAGUAGUUGAAUAUACAAACGUUGUCGACAAAUGGAACAUGUAAUACAAAAAAAUGAUAGCAUGAUAUAAUUCACAUACAUGAUGAUUGGCUAAACAGCAUGGCAUUGCAUAAUUCACAUAUAUAGUGCCUUUACAAUAGGAUAGCAUUGCAUAAUUAACAUAUAUAAUGUCUUGCAACAAUAUGGCAAUGCAUAAUUCACAUAUAUGGUAAUUAGUCACUAAAUAGGUGGCAUUCACACAAAGCAUGUCUAAACUAAUCAAAUGAAAUAGCAAUGCAAGACACCAUAUGCAUGAUAUGAGCAACAUAACCCUGCCAAGUUAGAGCAUACACCUCGGGUGCGAAAUAGGACUAGUCACCUGUCUCUAAAUCCUCCUCUGAGGGGCUAUCCAUAACCAACGAGAUAUGCACUUCGUCAGAUAGCAUAGUCUGCUCUGAAGACCUUGUUUUCACUCCAGAAUUUUUCAUCACUGUGUCAAAUGGCUGAUGCACACGAAGAGUAGUUGAAUGUACUAACCUUGUUGACAAAUGUAAUACGUAACAAAAAAAGGAUGGCCUGAUAUAAUUCACAUAUAAGAUGUCUGGCUAAGAAGGAUGGCAUUGCAAAGUUCACAUAUACGAUGCCUGGCUAAACAAGAUGGAGUUGCAUAAUUCACAUAAAUAAUGAAUAAACUAAAUAGGUGGCAUUCACACAAAGCAUGUCUAAACUAAGCAUAUGACAUAUUUGUGUAUAAAGUAAGCAAUGCAAGGAACCAUAUGCAUGAUAGAACCAACAUCAGCAUGCCAAGUUAGAGUGAAGACCUAAGGGGGUAAAUAGGAGUGGUCGUCUCCUUCUGAACCCCCCUCAGAAAAGAUAUCUUCCUCUGGAUUACAAUCCGAAAUGGGUGGAGGGGGGCUGCCUUUGCGCCUACCAUGGAGCGACGUCUACAUGAAAUUUUAUUGUGUACAGUAACUGACAUGCAUAUGAAUAAAACAUAGUGAGAUUAUGUAAGGAGUGCAUGCAUAAAUCCAUAGUGAUGGUAGCAACCUAUGGAUAGACCCAAAACCAAUGAUAGCAGGCAGAUAAUGGCUUCAGUUAAAAAAAUACAGAUAAUGGCUUCUUUACAGUUUGUUUCCCACCCAACAUGAAACUCAUAGUAGACACUAGAGAUUAACCAGAUAGUAGAUAGAUACUAUUGAUUGCGGCCCCGAUAUGUACCCCAUAACCAUUUAAAAACUCAAGUUUGACCAUUAGGUUGGAGCUGACUCGGAGUCUAAUCGGUGAACAGGAUGAUAAAGUAGCAUGUAAUAUUAAGCGAUGCAUAACGUAAGCAGACACGAAAGAGUGCGACCUCUCUUGCGAACCUGUGUAGUCCUUGAGGUCAUCUGGUCGGUUGAUGAUGGUAAUGCAGUUGUCAUGGCUACCGGCGGUGGGGAAGAAGAUCUGAGGCGGCGAAAGACAGUCAGGAGGCCGGAUCCCUGCUGUGCUGGACCCUUCUGUCAUUGGAGCUGCUGAGCUGGGGUGGACGACUGCGCAGUAGGAGUGGGACAAACCACACAAGGUUUUCUUUGACAACUAUCUGUAAGAGAAGUAAUUCUGUAAGGGCUCGUUUGAAUUGGAGGAUUGUAACAACGCAGGGAUAGGAAAUACACAGUAAUAGGAUAGGAAUGCACGUGCAAAACAGAGAAUUUGAAAACACGGGAUUUUUGCCAAUCUGGGUGUUUGGUUCACAAGAAUUGGAAGAUCACAAGAUGCAAAGAAGCAUGGCGAGAUUAAGUCAAACCACAAGAAAAUGUACGGUUAUAAUGCUAUUAUGCUACUAUCUCUUAGUCUUGUGCUUCAUGAAUAGGAAUUGCCUGGUACCUCACCGCUUGUCAUAUAGUAGGAGAAACUAAUCGUAUUUCACGUAACUACGUGUGCUUAGUGGACAAUAUAUAUAACAUGUAGAGUAAAAAAGAGACGAAACAAGUGAACAACCUCUUUGGCGAAGCCAUGUCAAUCUCAGCGUGAUUGGGUUGGUCGGUGAGGAUGAUCCGGCUGACUUGGCUGUCGGAGGAGGGGAAGAAGAUCUUAGGCAUCUUGAGAUGGAGCCCGGGGUAUUGCUCCACUGUGAUGGACGGUUUCGUCGUUGGAGCAGCUCCGAUGAGUUGUAUGAUGCUGAGGCUGAAGCAGGACAAGAGAGAAAAUGUAAACCUAAGUGGAAUUCUAAUAGCAUCUCCAACAGAUGACAUAAAAUACAUAACCACAAAGUGCUAGAUGUAAAAUACAUCAGCCGCUCAUCUCUGAACUUAACUGUCGAAACUGAAUUUAACUUUCGAAACUGAACUUAACUGUCGAAACUGAAUUUUGCUGUCGAAACUGAAUUUUAUUGUCGAAAAUGAACGCACUAGUAGCAGAAAAGUAGUAGCAGCAGCGAGUGCGAGAGCCGGGGCAGCUGGUCAUGUAGCAGUUCAUCUUCAACCUCCACCCCCCUGAGCCGCCAGCGACCACCGGCCAAACCGCCACCCCCCCGGCUCUGGCCGGCGGUGCGUCACCCCGCCCGCCCCGAAACCACUCCCUAUUGCCAGUCCGCUGUCGCCCCGGCCAUCCCUCUAGGCCCUCCCGUGCCGAGCUUUUUCUCCGGCGAUCCCCACGCCACCGCCCGACCCCCACCCCCACCCUGAACCCUAAGAUAGAUAGUAGUGAAGGAAAUAUGCCCUAGAAGCAAUAAUAAAGUUAUUAUUUAUUUUCUUAUAUCAUGAUAAAUGUUUAUUAUUCAUGCUAUAAUUGUAUUAACCGGAAACAUGAUACAUGUGUGAAUACAUAGACAAACAUAAAUGUCACUAGUAUGCCUCUACUUGACUAGCUCAUUAAUCAAAGAUGGUUAUGUUUCCUAACCAUAGACAUGAGUUGCCAUUUGAUUAAUGAGAUCACAUUAUUAGUAGAAUGAUGUGAUUGACUUGACCCAUUCCGUUAGCUUAGCACUUGAUCGUUUAGUAUGUUGCUAUUGAUUUCUUCAUGACUUAUACAUGUUCCUACAACGAUGAGAUUAUGCAACUCCCGUUUACUAGAGGAACACUUUGUAUGCUACCAAACGUCACAACGUAACUGGGUGAUUAUAAAGGAGCUCUACAGGUGUCUCCAAAGGUACAUGUUGAGUUGGCGUAUUUCGAGAUUAGGUUUUGUCACUCCGAUUGUCGGAGAGGUAUCUCUGGGCCCUCUCGGUAAUGCAUAUCACUAUAAGCCUUGCAAGCAAUGUAGCUAAUGAAUUAGUUACGAAAUGAUGCAUUACAUCACGAGUAAAGAGACUUGCUAGUAACGAGAUUGAACUAGGUAUUGAGAUACCGACAAUUGAAUCUCGGGCAAGUAACAUACCGAUGACAAAGGGAACAACGUAUGUUGUUAUGCGGUUUAACCGAUAAAGAUCUUCAUAGAAUAUGUAGGAGCCAAUAUGAGCAUCCAGGUUCCGCUAAUGGUUAUUGACCGGAAACGUGUCUCGGUCAUGUCUACAUAGUUCUCGAACCCGUAGGGUCCGCACACUUAAAGUUUCAAUGACAGUUAUACUAUGAGUUUAUGAGUUUUGAUGUACCGAAGGUUGUUCGGAGUCCCGGAUGUGAUCACAGACAUGACGAGGAGUCUCAAAAUGGUCGAGACAUGAAGAUUGAUAUAUUGGAAGCCUAUAUUUGGAUAUGGGAAGUGUUCCGGGUGAAAUCGGGAUUUUACCGGAGUACCGAGGGGUUACCGGAACCCCCCGGGGGCUUAAUGGGCCAUGGUGGGCCUUAGUGGAGAAGAGGAGAGGCGGCCAGGGAUGGGCCGUGCGCCCCUCCCCCCUAGUCCGAAUAGGACAAGGAGAGGGGGGCGCCGCCCCCCCCUUUCCUUCCUCUCUCUCCCUCCUCUUUCCCCCUUCUCCAAGUCCAACAAGGAAAGGAGGGAGUCCUACUCCCGGUGGGAGUAGGACUCCCCAUGGCGCACCUCCUCCCUGGCCGGCCACCCCCUCCCCCCUUGCUCCUUUAUAUACGGGGGCAGGGGGCACCUCUAGAGACACACCAACAGAUCAUUGAUCUCUUAGCCAUGUGCGGUGCCCCCCUCCACCAUAGUCCUCCUCGAUAAUAUUAUAGCGGUGCUUAGGCAAAGCCCUGUGACGGUAGAACAUCAACAUCGUCACCACGCCGUUGUGCUGACGGAACUCUCCCAUGACACUCAGUUGGAUCGGAGUUCGAGGGACGCCAUCGAGUUGAAUGUGUGCUAGAUCUCGGAGGUGCCGUGCUUUCGGUGCUUGAUCGGUCGGGCCGUGAAGACGCACGACUACAUAAACCGAGUUGUUCUAACGCUUCCGCUUUCGGUCUACAAGGGUACGUGGACAACACUCUCCCCUCUCGUUGCUAUGCAUCACCAUGAUCUUGCGUGUGCGUAGGAAUUUUUUUUCAAAUUACUACGUUCCCCAACAGUGGCAUCCGAGCCAGGUUUUAUGCGUAGAUGUUAUAUGCACGAGUAGAACAGAAGUGAGUUGUGGGCGAUACAAGUCAUACUGCUUACCAGCAUGUCAUACUUUGGUUCGGCGGUAUUGUUGGAUGAAGCGGCCUCGACAGACAUUACGCGUACGCUUACGCGAGACUGGUUCUACCGACGUGCUUUGCACAUAGGUGGCUGGCGGGUGUCAGUUUCUCCUACUUUAGUUGAACCGAGUGUGGCUACGCCCGGUCCUUGAGAAGGUUAAAACAACACUAACUUGACGAACUAUCAUUGUGGUUUUGAUGCAUAGGUAAGAACGGUUCUUGCUCAGCCCAUAGCAGCCACAUAAAAUUUGCAACCACAAAGUAGAGGAUGUCUAACUUGUUUUUGCAGGGCAUGUUGUGAUGUGAUAUGGUCAAGACGUGAUGCUAUAUUUUAUUGUAUGAAAUGAUCAUGUUUUGUAACCGAGUUAUCAGCAAUUGGCAGGAGCCAUAUGGUUGUCGCUUUAUUGUAUGCAAUGCAAAUGCCCUGUAAUGGCUUUACUUUAUCACUAAGCGGUAGCAGUAGUCGUAGAAGCAAUAGGUGGCGAAAUGACAAUGAUGCUACGAUGGAGAUCAAGGUGUCGAGCCGGUGACGAUGGUGAUCAUGACGGUGCUUUGGAGAUGGAGAUCACAAGCACAAGAUGAUGAUGGCCAUAUCAUAUCACUUAUAUUGAUUGCAUGUGAUGUUUAUCCUUUAUGCAUCUUAUUUCGCUUUGAUUGACGGUAGCAUUAUAAGAUGAUCUCUCACUAAAUUUCAAGAAGUGUUCUCCCUGAGUAUGCACCGUUGCGAAAGUUCUUCGUGCUGAGACACCACGUGAUGAUCGGGUGUGAUAGGCUCUACGUUCAAAUACAACAGGUGCAAAACAGUUGCACACGCGGAAUUCUCAUGUUAAACUGGACGAGCCUAGCAUAUACAGAUAUGGCCUCGAAACACUGAGACCAAAAGGUCGAGCGUGAAUCAUAUAGUAGAUAUGAUCAACAUAGUGAUGUUCACCAUUGAAAACUACUCCAUCUCGACCGAACAUGGUUUAGUUGAUUUGGAUCACGUGAUCACUUAGAUGAUUAGAGGGAUGUCUAUCUAAGUGGGAGUUCUUUAGUAAUAUGAUUAAUUGAACUUAAACUUAUCAUGAACUUAGUACCUGAUAGUAUUUUGCUUGUCUAUGUUUGUUGUAGAUAGAUGGCUCGUGCUAUUGUUCCGUUGAAUUUUAAUGCGUUCCUUGAGAAAGCUAAGUUGAAAGAUGAUGGUAGCAAUUACACGGACUGGGUCCAUAACUUGAGGAUUAUCCUCAUUGCUGCACAGAAGAAUUACAUCCUGGAAGCACCGCUGGGUGCCAAGCCUAUUGCAGAUGCAACUAACGACGUUAAGAACAUCUGGUAGAGCAAAGCUGAUGACUACUCGAUAGUUCAGUGUGCCAUGCUUUACGGCUUAGAACCGGGACUUCAACGACGUUUUGAAUGUCAUGGAGCAUAUGAGAUGUUCCAGGAGUUGAAGUUAAUAUUUCAAGCAAAUGCCCGGAUUGAGAGAUAUGAAGUCUCCAAUAAGUUCUAUAGCUGCAAGAUGGAAGAGAAUAGUUCUGUCAGUGAACAUAUACUCAAAAUGUUUGGGUAUGUAUAAUAAUCACUUGAUUCAACUGGGAGUUAGUCUUCCUGUUGAUAGUUUCAUUGACAGAAUUCUUCAAUCACUGCCACCAAGCUACAAGAGCUUCAUGAUGAACUAUAAUAUGCAAGGGAUGGACAAUACUAUUCCCGAGCUCUUCGCAAUGCUAAAAGCUGCGGAGGUAGAAAUCAAGAAGGAGCAUCAAGUGCUGAUGGUCAAUAAUACCACCAAUUUCAAGAAAAAGGGUAAAGGGAAGAAGAAGGGGAACUUCAAGAAGAACGACAAAAAAGUUGCUGCUCAAGAGAAGAAACCAAAAUCUGGACCUAAGCCUGAGACUGAGUGCUUCUACUGCAAGCAGACUGGUCACUCGAAGCGGAACUGCCCCAAGUAUUUGGCGGAUAAGAAGGAUGGCAAGGUGAACAAAGGUAUAUGUGAUAUACAUGUUAUUGAUGUGUACCUUACUAAUGCUCGCAGUAGCACCUGGGUAUUUGAUACUGGUUCUGUUGCUAAUAUUUGCAACUCGAAACAGGGACUACGGAUUAAGAGAAGAUCGGCUAAGGACGAGGUGACGAUGCACGUGGGAAAUGGUUCCAAAGUCGAUGUGAUCGCGGUCGGCACGCUACCUCUACAUCUACCUUUGGGAUUAGUUUUAGACUUGAAUAAUUGUUAUUUGGUGCCAUCGUUGAGCAUGAACAUUAUAUCUGGAUCUUUUUUGAUGCGAGACGGUUAUUCAUUUAAAUCAUAGACUAAUGGUUGUUCUAUUUAUAUGAGUAAUAUCUUUUAUGGUCAUGCACCCUUGAAGAGUGGUCUAUUUUUAUUAAAUCUCGAUAGUAGUGAUACACAUAUUCAUAAUGUUGAAGCCAAAAGAUGCAGAGUUGAUAAUGAUAGUGCAACUUAUUUGUGGCACUGCCGUUUGGGUCAUAUCGGUGUAAAGCGCAUGAAGAAACUCCAUACUGAUGGACUUCUGGAAUCACUUGAUUAUGAAUCACUUGGUACUUGCGAACCGUGCCUCAUGGGCAAGAUGACUAAAAUUCCGUUCUCCGGAACUAUGGAGCGAGCAACAGACUUGUUGGAAAUCAUACAUACUGAUGUAUGUGGUCCAAUGAAUGUUGAAGCUCACGGAGGAUAUCGUUAUUUUCUCACCUUCACAGAUGAUUUGAGCAGAUAUGGGUAUAUCUACUUAAUGAAACACAAGUUUGAAACAUUUGAAAAGUUCAAAGAAUUUCAGAGUGAAGUGGAAAAUCAUCGUAACAAGAAAAUAAAGUUUCUACGAUCUGAUCAUGGAGGGGAAUAUUUGAGUUAUGAGUUUGGUUUACAUUUGAAACAAUGUGGAAUAGUUUCGCAACUCACGCCACCUGGAACACCACAACGAAAUGGUGUGUCCGAACGUCGUAAUCGUACUUUACUAGAUAUGGUGCGAUCUAUGAUGUUUCUUACUAAUUUACCAUUUUUGUUUUGGGGUUAUUCUUUAGAGACGGCCGCAUUCACGUUAAAUAGGGCACCAUCAAAAUCCGUUGAGACGACGCCUUAUGAACUAUUGUUUGGCAAGAAACCAAAGUUAUCGUUUCUUAAAGUUUGGGGCUGCGAAGCUUAUGUGAAGAAACUUCAACCAGAUAAGCUCAAACCCAAAUCAGAGAAAUGUGUCUUCAUAGGAUACCCAAAAGAGACUAUUGGGUACACCUUCUAUCAUAGAUCUGAAGGCAAGACUUUUGUUGCUAAAUUCGGAUCCUUUCUAGAGAAGGAGUUUCUCUCGAAAGAAGUGAGUGGGAGGAAAGUAGAACUUGAUGAGGUAACUGUACCUGCUCCCUUAUUGGAAAAUAGUUCAUCACAGAAACCGGUUCCUAUGACGACUACACCAAUCAGUGAGGAAGCUAAUGAUAUUGAUCAUGAAACUUCAGAUCAAGUUACUACAGAACCUCGUAGGUCAACCAAAGUAAGAUCCGCUCUAGAGUGGUAUGGUAAUCCUAUUCUGGAAGUCAUGUUACUUGACCAUGGCGAACCUAUGAACUAUGAGGAAGCGAUGAUGAGCCCAGAUUCCGCAAAAUGGCUUGAGGCCAUGAAAUCUGAGAUGGGAUCCGUGUAUGAGAACAAAGUGCGGACUUUGGUUGACUUGCCCGAUGAUCGGCAAGCCAUCGAGAAUAAAUGGAUCUUCAAGAAGAAGACUGACGCUGAUGGUAAUGUAACUGUCUACAAAGCUCGACUUGUUGUGAAAGGUUUUCGACAAGUUCAAGUAGUUGACUACGAUGAGACUUUCUCACCCGUAGCGAUGCUUAUGUCUGUCCGAAUUAUGUUAGCAAUUGCCACAUUUUAUGAUUAUGAAAUAUGGCAAAUGGAUGUCAAAACUGCAUUCCUGAAUGGAUUUCUAGAAGAAGAGUUGUAUAUGAUGCAGCCAGAAGGUUUUCUCGAUCCAAAAGGUGCUAACAAGGUGUGCAAGCUCCAGCGAUCCAUUUAUGGACUGGUGCAAGCCUCUCGGUGUUGGAAUAAACAUUUUGAUAGUGUGAUCAAAGCAUAUGGUUUUAUACAGACUUUUGGAGAAGCCUGUAUUUACAAGAAAGUGAGUGGGAGCUCAGUAGCAUUUCUGAUAUUAUAUGUAGACGACAUAUUGUUAAUUGGAAAUGAUAUAGAAUUUUUGGAUAGCAUAAAAGGAUACUUGAAUAAAAGUUUUUCGAUGAAAGACCUCGGUGAAGCUGCUUACAUAUUGGGCAUCAAGAUCUAUAAAGAUAGAUCAAGACGCUUAAUUGGACUUUCACAAAGCACAUACCUUGAUAUAGUUUUGAAAAAGUUCAAAAUGGAUCAAGCAAAGAAAGGUUUCUUGCCUGUAUUACAAGGUGUGAAGUUGAGUCAGACUCAAUGCCCGACCACAGCAGAAGAUAGAGAGAAAAUGAAAGAUGUUCCCUAUGCUUCAGCCAUAGGCUCUAUCAUGUAUGCAAUGUUGUGUACCAGACCUGAUGUCUGCUUAGCAAUAAGUUUAGCAGGGAGGUACCAAAGUAAUCUAGGAGUGGAUCACUGGACAGCGGUCAAGAAUAUCCUGAAAUACCUGAAAAGGACUAAGGAUAUGUUUCUCGUUUAUGGAGGUGACAAAGAGCUAGUCGUAAAUGCUUACGUCGAUCCAAGCUUUGACGCUGAUCCGGACGAUUCUAAAUCGCAAACCGGAUACGUGUUUAUAUUGAACGGUGGAGCUGUCAGUUGGUGCAGUUCUAAACAAAGCAUCAUGGCAGGAUCUACAUGCGAAGCGGAGUACAUAGCUGCUUCAGAAGCAGCAAAUGAAAUAGUCUGGAUGAAGGAGUUCAGUUCCGAUCUAGGUGUCAUAACUAGUGCAUUGGGACCAAUGAAGAUCUUCUGUGAAAAUACUGGUGCAAUAGCCUUGGCAAAGGAAUCCCGAUUUCUCAAGAGGACCAAGCACAUCAAGAGACGCUUCAAUUCCAUCCGGGACUAAGUCCAGGUGGGAGACAUAGAGAUUUGCAAGAUACAUACAGAUCUGAAUAUUGCAGACCCGUUGACUAAGCCUCUUCCAUGAGCAAAACAUGAUCACCACCAAGGCUCCACGGGCGUUAGAAUCAGUAGUGUGUAAUCUAGAUUAUUGACUCAAGUGCAAGUGGGAGACUGAAGGAAAUAUAUCCUAGAGGCAAUAAGAAAGUUAUUAUUUAUUUCCUUAUAUCAUGAUAAAUGUUUAUUAUUCAUGCUAGAAUUGUAUUAACCGGAAACAUGAUACAUGUGUGAAUACAUAGACAAACAUAAAUGUCACUAGUAUGCCUCUACUUGACUAGCUCAUUAAUCAAAGAUGGUUAUGUUUCGACAUGAGUUGUCAUUUGAUUAAGGAGAUCACAUCAUUAGUAGAAUGAUGUGAUUGACUUGACCCAUUCUGUUAGCUUAGCAAUUGAUCGUUUAGUAUGUUGCCAUUGCUUUCUUCAUGACUUAUACAUGUUCCUACAACUAUGAGAUUAUGCAACUCCCGUUUACCAGAGGAACACUUUGUGUGCUACCAAACGUCACAACGUAACUGGGUGAUUAUAAAGGAGCUCUAUAGGUGUCUCCAAAUGUACAUGUUGAGUUGGCGUAUUUCGAGAUUAGGUUUUGUCACUCUGAUUGUCGGAGAGGUAUCUCUGGGCCCUCUCGGUAAUGCACAUCACUAUAAGCCUUGCAAGCAAUGUAGCUAAUGAGUUAGUUACGGAAUGAUGCAUUAUGAUAACCCGCAAGUAUAUGGGAUAGUUGUAGCCUCUUUCGGUAAGUAAGAGUGUCGAACCCAACGAGGAGCUAAAGGUAGAACAAAUACUCUCUCAAGUCCUAUCGGCCACUGAUACGACUCUACGCACGCUUAACGUUCGCUUUACCUAGAACAAGUAUGAAACUAUAAGUACUUUGUAGGUGUGAUAGGAUAGGUUUGCAAGAAAAUAAAGAAUGCGUAAAUAAAUACUAGGGGCUGUUUAGAUAAAGAUGCAAUAAAGUAAAUAUAGCGAGUGUGGAAAAGUGGUGGUAGGAGUUGUGGAAUUGUCCCUAAGCAAUUGACUAUGUUACUAGACUGGUAAUCACUAUUGCAAUUCUAUUUGAGGGAGAGGCAUAAGCUAACAUACUUUCUCUACUUGGAUCAUAUGCAAUUAUGAUUGGAACUCUAACAAGCAUCCGCAAAUACUAAAGAUUCAUUAAGGUAAAACCCAACCAUAACAUUAAAGUAUCAAGUCCCCUUUAUCCCAUACGCAAACAACCUACUUACUCGGGUUUGUGCUUCUGUCACUCACGCCACCCACCAUAAGCAAAUCAUAAACAUAUUGCAAACCCUACAGCGGGAAUCCCUCACGCUUGCGCGACACGGAGGGCACAAUAGGACAGCACCAAUAAUAAAACAUGCAACUCAAACCAAUCAUAGCAAUUCAUCAAUCACCAAUAGGACAACGAAAAUCUACUCAGACAUCAUAAGAUGGCAACUCAUCAUUGGAAAAUAAUAUGAAGCAUAAAGCACCAUGUUCAAGUAGAGGGUACAUUGGGUUGUGGGAGAGUGGACCGCUGAAUAUAGAUGGGGGAAGGUGAUGGAGAUGUUGGUGAAGAUGACGGCGGUGUUGGUGAAGAUUGUGGUGAUGAUGAUGGCCCUCGGCAGCGCUCCGGCGCCACCAGAAGAAAGGGGGAUAGAGCCCCCCUUCUUCUUCUUCUUCCUUGACCUCCUCCCUAGAUGGGAGAAGGGUUUCCCCUCUGGUCCUUGGCUCCCAUGGCGUGGAAGGGGCGAGAGCCCCUCCGAGAUUGGAUCUAUCUCUCUGUUUCUGCGUUCUCAGAUUCUACCCCUCGCCGUUUCUUAAAUAUCCGGAGAUCCGUAACUCCGAUUGGGGUGAAUCUUUCGACUAGAUCUUUCUCAUAAAAUUAGCUUUCUUGCACCAAAAUAAGAGCGUCAACCACCUUACGGGUGGCCCACGAUAGUCCAGGGCGCGCCCAUGGGGAAGGGCGCGCCCCCCUGUCUCGUGGCCACCCCGUACAUCGUUUCGCGUUGAUUUUACUUCCCAAAAAUCAUAAAUAUUCCAAAAAAAAAUCUCCAUCCGGUUUUAUCCCAUUUGGAUAUGUUUGAUAUUGGGUUUCUGCGAAACAAAAAACAUGCAACAGACAGGAACUGGCACUGGGCACUGAAUCAAUAUGUUAGUCCCAAAAAAUAGUAUAAAAAGUUGCCAAAAGUAUAUAAAAGUUGAAUUAUAUUGGCAUGGAACAAUAAAAGUUAUAGAUACGACGGAGAUGUAUCAGCAUCCCCAAGCUUAAUUCCUGCUCGUCCUCGAGUAGGUAAAUGAUAAAAAAGAUAAUUUUUGAUAUGGAAUGCUACCUAGCAUAAUCUUGAUCAUAUGUCUAAUCAUGGCAUGAAUAUUAAGACACGAGUGAUUCAAAGCAAUGGUCUAUCAUUUGACAUAAAAACAAUAAUACUUCGAGCGUACCAAUAAAGCAAUCAUGUCUUUUGAAAACAACAUGGCCAAAGCAAGCUUAUCCCUACAAAAUCAUACAGUUUGGUGAUACGUCUCCGUCAUAUCUAUAAUUUUUGAUUGUUCCAUGACAAUAUUAUUUUUGGGACUAACAUAUUGGUCCAGUGCCCAGUGCCAGUUCCUGUCUGUUGCAUGUUUUUUGUUUCGCAGAAACCCAAUAUCAAACGGAGUCCAAACGGGAUAAAAAUGGACGGAGAUUUUUUUUGGAAUAUUUAUGAUUUUUGGGAAGUAAAAUAAACGCGAAACGGUAUCCGAGGUGGUCACGAGGUAGGGGGGCGCACCCUACCCCCCAGGCGCGCCCCUAACCCUCGUGGUCCAGCCGUAAGGCGGUUGACGCUCUCCUUCUGGCGCAAGAAAGAAAAUUUUACAAGGAAGAUCUGAGCGAAAGAUUCUCCCCAAUCGGAGUUACGGAUCUCCGGAUAUAAAAGAAACGAUGAAGGGGUAGAAUCUGCCAACAUAGAGAACGCAGAAACAGAGAGAUAGAUCCAAUCUCGGAGGGGCUCUCGCCCCUCCCAAGCCAUGGGAGCCAAAGACCAGAGGGGAAACCCUUCUCCCAUCUAGGGAGAAGGUCAAGGAAGAAGAACAAGAAGGGGGGAUCUCUCCCCCUUGCUUCCGGUGGCGCCGGAACGCCGCCGGGGGCCAUCAUCAUCACCGCUAUCUUCACCAACACCUCCGCUAUCUUCACCAACACCUCCAUCACCUUCCCCCUUCUAUCUAUAGCGGUCCACUCUCCCGCAUCCCACUGUACCCUCUACUUGAACAUGGUGCUUUAUGCUUCAUAUUAUUACCCAAUGAUGUGUUGCCAUCCUAUGAUGUCUGAGUAGAUUUUUGUUGUCCUAUCGGUGAUUGAUGAAUUGCUAUGAUUGGUUUGAGUUGCAUGUUUUAUUAUUGGUGCUGUCCUAUUGUGCCCUCCGUUUCGCGCAAGCGUGAGGUAUUCCCCCUGUAGGGUUUUCAAUAUGUUUAUGAUUUGCUUAUGGUGGGUGGCGUGAGUGACAGAAGCACAUACCCGAGUAAGUAGGUUGUUUGCGUAUGGGAUAAAAGGGGACUUGAUACUUUAAUGCUAUGGUUGGGUUUUACCUUAAUGAAUCUUUAGUAGUUGCGGAUGCUUGCUAGAGUUCCAAUCAUAAGUGCAUAUGAUCCAAGUAGAGAAAGUAUGUUAGCUUAUGCCUCUCCCUCAAACAGAAUUGCAAUAACGAUUACCGGUCUAGUAACGUAGUCAAUUGCCUAGGGACGAUUUCACAACUCCUACCACCACUUUUCCACACUCAUUAUAUUUACUUUAUUGCAUCUUUUCCUAAACAGCCCCUAGCUUUUAUUUAUGUGUUCUUUAUUAUCUUGCAAACCUAUCCUAUCACACCUACAAAGUACUUCUAGUUUCAUACUUGUUCUAGGUAAAGCGAACGUCAAGCGUGCGUAGAGUCGUAUCAGUGGCCGAUAGGACUUGAGAGAGUAUUUGUUCUACCUUUAGCUCCUCGUUGGGUUCGACACUCUUACUUAUUGAAAGAGGCUACAACUAUCCCGUAUACUUCCGGGUCAUCAUUUGGCCAUGCUUCGUUUUCAAAACACAAAAUGCCCCCAUCAUGCACAACCCCGAUGACAAGCCGAGCAAUUGGUUCAUACUUUUUAACGCGCUUAAGCUUUUUCAACCCUCACGUAAUACAUGAGCGCAAGCGAUUUAUAUAGCACUAUAGGUGGAAUAGAAUAUAAUGAUGGAGGUUAUGUGGAGAAGACAAAAAUGGAGAAAGUCUCACAUCAACGCGGCUAAUCAACGGGCUAUGGAGAUGCCCAUCAAUUGAUGUCAAUGAGAGGAGUAGAGAUUGCCAUGCAAUGGAUGCACUAAGAGCUAUAAGUGUAUGAAAGCUCAACAAAAGAAACUAAGUGGGUGUGCAUCCAAUUUGCUUGCUCAUGAAGACCUAGGGCAUUUGAGGAAGCCCAUCAUUGGAAUAUACAAGCCAAGUUCUAUAAUGAAAAUUCCCACUAGUAUAUGAAAGUGACAACAUAGGAGACAAUCUAUAUGAAGAACAUGGUGCUACUUUGAAGCACAAGAUAUGAGACUCACUACAUGAAGAACAUGGUGCUACUUUGAAGCACAAGUGUGAAAAAAGAGAUAGUAACAUUGCCCCUUUUUAUUUAUUUUCUUUUUUUUUCUUUUUUUUCUUUUUUUCUUUGGAAUUUCUUUUUUUUCUUUUUGGCCUUUCUUUUUUUUCUUUUUGGGGACAAUUCUCUAAUAAUGAUGAUCAUCACACUUUUAUUUACUUACAACUCAAUAUUACAACUCGAUACUGGAACAAAGAUAUGACUCUAUAUGAAUGCUUCCGACGGUGUACCGGGAUGUGCAAUGAUCUAGCGUAGCAAUGACAUCAAAAAACGGACAAGCCCUAAACAUCAUGCUAGCUAUCUUACAAUCAUGCAAAGCAAUAUGACAAUGAAUUCUCAAGUCAUGAAUAUGAUGAUGAUGGAAGUUGCAUGGCAAUAUAUCUCGGAAUGGCUAUGGAAAUGCCAUGAUAGGUAGGUAUGGUGGCUGUUUUGAGGAAGAUAUAAUGAGGCCUAUGUGUGAUAGAGCAUAUUGUAUCACGGGGUUUGGAUGCACCGGCAAAGUUUGCACCAACUCUCGAGGUGAGAAAGGGCAAUGCACGGUACCGAAGAGGCUAGCAAUGAUGGAAAGGUAAAAGUGCGUAUAAUCCAUGGACUCACAUUAGUCAUAAAGAACUCAUAUACUUAUUGCAAAAGUUUAUUAGCCCUCGAAGCAAAGUACUACUACGCAUGCCCCUAGGGGAUAGAUUGGUGGGAAAAGACCAUCGCUCGUCCCCGACCGCCACUCAUAAGGAAGACAAUCAAAGAAACACCCCAUGCUUCAAAUUUGUCACACAACGGUUACCAUACGUGCAUGCUACGGGACUUGCAAACCUCAACACAAGUGUCUCUACAAUCCACAACCACCCACUAGCAUGACUCUAAUAUCACCACCUUUAUAUCGCAAAACUAUUGCAAGGAAUCAAACAUAUCAUAUUCAACGAUCUACAAGUUUAUGUAGGAUUUUAUGACUAACCAUGUGAAUGACCAAUUCUUGUCAUCUCUCUAAAUAGAUAUAAGUGAAGCAAGAGAGUUUAAUUCUUUCUACAAAAGAUAUGCCCAUGCACUAACAAAUAUAAGUGAAGCAAAAGAGCAUUCUACAAAUGGCGGUUUUCUAUGUGAAGAGAAAUAGGCAAUCCAGACUUCAAAUGAUAUAAGUGAAGCACAUGAAGCAUUCUAUAAAGCCAUACUCAAAAGAUUUAAGUGAGGUGCAAUGAGCAUUCUAUAAAUCAACCAAGGACUAUCUCAUACCAGCAUGGUCCAUAAAAUAAAAAUGAAAACUAAAUGCAAAAUACGCUCCAAGACUUGCACAUAAUGCAUGAACGAAACGAAUUCAAAAACAUACCGAUACUUGUUGAAGAAAGAGGGGAUGCCUUCCGGGGCAUCCCCAAGCUUAGACGCUUGAGUCUACUUGAAUAUUUACUUGGGUUGCCUCGGGAAUCUCCAAGCUUGAUCUCUUGCCUAUCUUCCUUUUCCUCAUAUCGAGACAUCCUCGAUUAGACACUACAUCCACACAAAACUUCAACAGAAAACUCGGUAAGAUCCGUUAGUAUAAUAAAGCAAAUCACCACUCUAAGUACUGUUGCAAUCCAAUUCAUAUUUUGUUUUUGCAUUGUGUCUACUGUAACAUAACUUUUUCAUGGCUUAAUCCACUAAUAUAAAUUGAUAGAUUCAUCAAAACAAGCAAACUAUGCAUCAAAAACAGAAUCUGUCAAAAACAGAACAGUCUGUCGCAAUCUGAACAUCCACCAUACUUCUGGUACCCCAACAAUUCUACCAAAAUUACUAAACAGAAACAAGUUGUAUAGCAAGAUAUUGCAAAAGGAAUCAGAACCGUUCGACAUUCCAGUUAAAAAUGUAAAAUCGUGCACUACAGCCAAAGUUUCUGUCCUGCACCGUACAAACCAACAAGCAUUGUAAACACCCUAAAGGAAAACCUUGGCACAUUAUUGUUAUAAUACAAUGGAAUUAUACAAAGGGAUAAUUAUUUUUGAUGAAAAGUUUCUGUAAUCAAGAUUCAUAAAGUUUCCGUGAGCGUGAACAAAGUUCAAGGAGCUCUCCCACUUCAACAAUGCUUGUCUCUCUCACUUUCACUUUCCUUUUUGAAAAGUUUUUAGGUUCCCCUCUUUAUUUUUUUGUUUUUAAACUAUAUAAAAGCACUCAACUGAAAUAAAUGACUCUCUACAACUUCCGGGUUGUCUCCCUGGCAGGGCUUUCUUUAAAGCCAUUAAGCUAGGCAUUUUGUGCUCAAGUAAUGAAUCCACCCGUAUCCCAAGGUAUAUCAAAGCCAAUUUUAAUUAACAAUGAUUUGUAAUUUAGUAGUGAGCACAAAGUAACAUAUAUCAAGCAACAACGAAGUCUAACUCUCGUCCUAUGCAUCGGCACGUCAUAAGAGAACAAUUCUUGCACACAUAGUAAAGGCCAAUGCAUAGUAUAGUCUUCUUGCAAUUCUAUUGUAUUGGAAACAUAGAGAGGUGGAGACAUAGUUCCUCUUUGAUAAUAAUUGCAAGUAGGAGCAGCAAGCACAUGCAUAUUACAUUCAUCAAAAUCUUCAUGUGCAAUGGUAAAAGGCAACCCAUCAAUAUAAUCCUUAAUAAGCACAAACUUCUCAGAUAUAGUGUAGUCGGGAGAAUUCAAAAAGAUAAUAGGACUAUCAUGCGUGGGUGCAAUAGCAACAAUUUCAUGUUUAACAUAAGGAACUAUAGCAAGUUCAUCUCCAUAAGUAUAAUUCAUAUUGGCAUCUUGGCCACAAUCAUAGCAAGCAUCAUCGAAAAGGGAUAUUUCAAACAAAUUCAAGGGAUCAUAGCAAUCAUCAUAGCAAUCAUCCUUCGGUAAGCAUGAAGGGGAAUUAAAUAAUGUAUGAGUUGGAGGGUUACUCUCGUUAGAAGGUGGGCACGGGUAGCUAAUCCGCUCUUCCUCCUUUUGUUCUUCGCUCUCCUCCUCAUCUUUUUCAUCCAAUGAGCUCACAGUUUCAUCACUUUCUUCUUCCAUAGCUUCCUGCAAAAUAUUAGUCUCUUCUUGGACAACGGAGACUUUCUCAAUAAAUGCAUUAAUAUAGUAAUUGUAUUCAUAAUUUUCAUAGCAAUAUCUAAGUAUAGCAAGAUUUUCAGGCCUAUAAGCAUCAUCAUCUAAAGCUUCAUACUUUUCAAACAAAGAUUCAAUAUCAUAAGCAGCCUUAAAAGCAACAAAAUUUUCUAUUUGUUCCACAUCAUAGUAAUCAUAUAUACCAUUAGCAUAAGAAGCUAAGGUUUCAUUAUCAUUAAAUUUGCAUGAAAAGGGAAGGUGUGGAGCCUUCAUCCUAAAGCAAAAAGUAAUAUCAUACCUCAAGCAUAGAUUCCAGGCAUACCAACGCAACAUAAUAAAUUGAUCCCAUAAUAGUUUCCCUUUUUGUGUCGAGCGAUAAUCCCUAAAGUAUUCACGUUGAUCCAACGUGUCUCCCAUUAUAAAGUUGAAUGGGGUUUUCUCAGGAUUAUCAAAGUAGUACAUAAUAUCUUUCGCAUAAUGAGAAUCGAGGGUUUUAGGAGUUACCCCAUCUCCAUGAGUAGCAAGUACACCUAAUUUUUUUUGUAUUUUGCGUUCCACAUCCAUAACUAAAGAUAGAGAACAACUUAGAAAGCAAAUAAAAAUUACUUAGUGAUAAAGCAAACAAGCACACACGAGAAUAUUCAGCCCACACUAUGACUCCCCGGCAACGGCGCCAGAAAAAGGUCUUGAUAACCCGCAAGUAUACGGUAUAGUUGUAGCCUCUUUCGAUAAGUAAGAGUGUCGAACCCAACGAGGAGCUAAAGGUAGAACAAAUACUCUCUCAAGUCCUAUCGGCCACUGAUACGACUCUACGCACGCUUAACGUUUGCUUUACCUAGAACAAGUAUGAAACUAGAAGUACUUUGUAGGUGUGAUAGGAUAGGUUUGCAAGAAAAUAAAGAACGAGUAAAUAAAAACUAGGGGCUGUUUAGAUAAAGAUGCAAUAAAGUAAAUAUAGCGAUUGUGGAAAAGUGGUGGUAGGAGUUGUGGAAUUGUCCCUAAGCAAUUGACUAUGUUACUAGACCGGUAAUCACUAUUGCAAUUCUAUUUGAGGGAGAGGCAUAAGCUAACAUACUUUCUCUACUUGGAUCAUAUGCACUUAUGAUUGGAACUCUAGGAAGCAUCCGCAAAUACUAAAGAUUCAUUAAGGUAAAACCCAACCAUAGCAUUAAAGUAUCAAGUCCCCUUUUAUCCCAUACGCAAACAACCUACUUACUCGGGUCUAUGCUUCUGUCACUCACGCCACCCACCAUAAGCAAAUCAUAAACAUAUUGCAAACCCUACAGCGGGAAUCCCUCAUGCUUGCGCGACACGGAGGGCACAAUAGGACAACACCAAUAAUAAAACAUGCAACUCAAACCAAUCAUAGCAAUUCAUCAAUCACCGAUAGGACAACGAAAAUCUACUCAGACAUCAUAGGAUGGCAACACAUCAUUGGAAAAUAAUAUGAAGCAUAGAGCACUAUGUUCAAGUAGAGGGUACAGAGGGUUGCGGGAGAGUGGACCGCUGAAUAUAGAUGGGGGAAGGUGAUGGACAUGUUGGUGAAGAUGACGGCGGUGUUGGUGAAGUUCGCGGUGAUGAUGAUGGCCCCCAGCAGCGCUCCGGCGCCACCGGAAGCAAGGGGGAGAGAGCCCCACUUCUUCUUCUUCUUCUUCCUUGACCUCCUGCCUAGAUGGGAGAAGGGUUUCCCCUCUGGUACUUGGCUCCCAUGGGGUGGGAGGGGCGAGAGCCCCUCUGAGAUUGGAUCUAUCUCUUUGUUUCUGCGUUCUCAGAUUCUACCCCUUCACCGUUUCUUAAAUAUCCGGAGAUCCGUAACCCCGAUUGGGGUGAAUCUUUCGACCAGACCUUUCUCAUAAAAUUAGCUUUCUUGCACCAAAAGAACAGCGUCAACCGCCUUACGGGUGGCUCAUGAGAGUCCAGGGCAUGCCCAGGGGGGAGGGGACGCCCCCCCCCCCCGUCUCGUGGCCACCCCGGACACUGUUUCGCGUUGAUUUUACUUCCCAAAAAUCAUUAAUAUUCCAAAACAAUCUCCGUCCAUUUUUAUCCCGUUUGGACUCCGUUUGAUAUUGGGUUUAUGCGAAACAAAAAACAUGCAACAGACAGGAACUGGCACUGGGCACUGAAUCAAUAUGUUAGUCCCAAAAAAUAAUAUAAAAAGUUGCCAAAAGUAUAUAAAAGUUGAAUAAGAUUGGCAUGGAACAAUAAAAAUUAUAGAUACGACGGAGACGUAUCACAUUACAUAACGAGUAAGAGACUUGCCGGUAACGAGAUUCAACUAGGUAUUGAGAUGCCGACGAUCGAAUCUCGGGCAAGUAACAUACCGAUGACAAAGGGAACAACGUAUGUUGUUAUGCGGUUUGACCGAUAAAGAUCUGCAUAGAAUAUGUAGGAGACAAUAUGAGCAUCCAAGUUCCGCUAUUGGUUAUUGACCGGAAACGUGUCUCGGUCAUGUCUACAUAGUUCUCGAACCCGCAGGGUCCGCACACUUAAAGUUUCGACGGCAGUUAUAUUAUGAGUUUAUGAGUUUUGAUGUGCCGAAGGUUGUUCGGAGUCCCGGAUGUGAUCACGUACAUGACGAGGAGUCUCGAAAUGGUCAAGACAUGAAGAUUGAUAUAUUGGAAGCCUAUAUUUGGAUAUCGGAAGUGUUCCGGGUGAAAUCGGGAUUUUACCGGAGUACCGAGGGGUUACCAGAACCCCCUGGGGGCUUAAUGGGCCAUGGUGGGCCUUAGUGGAGAAGAGAAGAGGCGGCCAGGGAUGGGUCGCGCGCCCCUCCCCCUACCCCGAAUAGGACAAGGAGAGGGGGGCAGCCCCCCCCCUUUCCUUCCUCUCUCUCCCUCCUCUUUCCCCCCUUCUCCAAGUCCAACAAGGAAAGGAGGGAGUCCUACUCCCGGUGGGAGUAGGACUCCCCAUGGCGCGCCUCCUCCCUGGCCGGCCGCCCCCUUCCCCCUUGCUCCUUUAUAUACGGGGGCAGGGGGGCACCUCUAGAGACACAACAACAGAUCAUUGAUCUCUUAGCCGUGUGUGGUGCCCCCCUCCACCAUAGUCCUCCUCCGAUAAUAUUGUAGUGGUGCAUAGGCGAAGCCCUGCGACGGUAGAACAUCAACAUCGUCGCCAUGCCGUCGUGCUGACGGAGCUCUCCCUCGACACUCAGCUGGAUCGGAGUUCGAGGGACGUCAUCGAGCUGAACGUGUGCUAGAACUCAGAGGUGCCGUGCUUUCGAUGCUUGAUCGGUCGGGCCGUGAAGACGUAUGACUACAUCAACCGCUUUGUUCUCACGCUUCUUCUUUUGGUCUACGAGGGUACGUGGACAACACUCUUCCCUCUCGUUGCUAUGCAUCACCAUGAUCUUGCAUGUGCGUAGGAUUUUUUUUGAAAUUACUAUGUUCCCAACAAGUAGGGUACCUCUCCAGCGAGCCCCCCUCCCCGUUGCGGCUGGUUCUUCCUUAACUCCGGCCAGCCCCCCACCCACUGAAAAUCGACUGACCCAAAAGUCGAUUCAUUCGACUGAAGUGUAGCAGCAUCGGAGCAGCAUCGCAAGCAAGAGCAAGAGCGAGAGCACCAGCGCGAGCAAGAGCAAGAGCAAGAGCAGACCAGGCAGGGGACCGAGAGCAAGAGUAGAGCAGCUACACGAGCAAGAUCCAAAGCAGCAGCAGCUCCUACUGAUGUGGACGUCGCCGCCAAGGGAGCGACGCCAUGGAGGAAGUGGGCCGGCGACGCCGCCGCAGAUGGAGUCGCACCAUGUCGGCUUGGGACCGAGCACCGGCAGCACCGUGAGAUCGAAUCAAGAAGAAAAUGCGGCGAUUAGUGUACAACCGCUUUGGUGGAGCCGAUUAGGCCUUAGCUUCAUUCGAGUAAACUGUGAUGAUGGUUCUCUUCCGGUGGUGCAGGUGAAGAUGGCGGUGUGGGAAUGGAGGUGGCGCGACAGACGAGGGGAACGUCGGGGCAGCUCCUUGGAGGUGGAGGAAGGGGUGGCUGAAUCGGCGGGACGACGAGAUCGACGACGGAUCCUCAUCCGGUACGGUGGAUGAGGGACGUCGAGGUGUUGCUGUGGAUGACGUCGUCGGGGAAGAGGCUCUAGAUGGGUGGCGGAUGGAGGAGGGUGUGGGGCUUCAUGGGUUUUCGCGGCCUCGGUGUAUGAAUGGGCGGGCGGAUGGGAUGGGAGUGGGGAACCAUGGCUUAGGGACGCGCUUGUCCGAAAUGUGGGGUUAGUUAUGAAAGUACCCCCACCGAUUUGAACUAGGCGGUUCUUUCGGUUCAAGGGUAUCACGGGCAUUUCACGUGUCGGGAUUUGGCAAGAGGUGGGAGUUUCCGCGUGCAUUGUAAUUUUGGGAUAGCAAGGCGUGGGUUGAGAUGGAGGGAGUUUUUGGAGGACAACGAGACAAAGAUAUAUCUUAAAUAUUUUGGGGUAACAAGGCACGGGUUGAAAUUUCCGGACAAGCCUAACGUGUACUGUACCAAAUCAAUUCGCACUUCUGUCGAUGAAAAAACAAAACAAAAUCAAUUCACACCACACAACACUACUAGGGAAAAGCCUAGCAGCAGUGCGGGUUUUAGGCCUGUGAGUAGCGCGGGCUUGAGCACUACUGGUACGACGCUACAGCUAAAGCUCAGUAGUAGCGUGCCUAAACUCACGCUACUGCUAAAACGACUUAGUAGUAGCGCUUCCCUAGAGGAGCGCUAUUGGUAAUUAGUAGUAGCGCUUCUCCCUACCCGUGCUACUACUAUUAUUUCAUAUUUUAUUUCUUUUUUAUUUCAUGUUUUAUUCAUACACCUUUACACAAGUUUUCAUACAACAGGAAUUUAGAGAUUGUUUUUACAUCAUAAUGAGUUAUUACAUCACGGGGUGAAAGAACCGUGGACUAGUUUCAAGUGUAUGUCCAUCCACUUGAAACUAAUCGCGGUUCUUUCACCCAAUGAUAUAAUAAACAUCAUCAUCAUCAUCAUCAUCAUCAUAUCAUUAACAAGUUAUCAUCAUAAUACAUCGUUGUCAUAUAACACCUCCUCAAGAUCAUUGUUUUCAUCAAUGACAUCACAUAGCAAAUUGGCCACUAGUCGUAAUCACAAGUAAUCCUCAUCAUCAACUCUAACACAUUGUACCACAUAAUAAACAUAUUGUACCUCAUAGGACCUACUACAUUCUCUUAGGACCUACUACAUUCUCUAAGGUAAAAGAGCAAAAAACAAGAUAGCCCCUGACUCUACAUUAUUGAGAAUGGAGAUUAUCCUGUCUCCAAUUCUUUCCUUUUGCUUAAUGUUACUUCCAAGAACCUCCUUGCAAAUGUCCAAACAUUUUUUCCAUUCUUUGAUGAGCAUGUGUUCACCGGUUUUAGAAAUCCGAUAUGCACAGGUGAGCUCCCUAGAUUGACCUGGUAGUAUCUUCAGAACUCUAAGGCGACCAUUCAGAUACAUCAGAUAAGGCACACAAUCCAUCAGGAUUUUCUAUUGAAAAACAUAGUAAUAACUUCGUAGUUAGCAAUGAUGUACUAGUUGUAGAAGUAUGCAAAAGAUGCACGGAUGUCGUAAUAGUAAAAAAUCUUACUAGGGUAUCUCCAUAGAAGUUACCGUGGUUCAACACGUGCACUAGUGGCACAUAUUCAUCAUAAUUUGGAGGAGUUCGAUAAUAGGUAUUGUAAUUCUCAAGAUAAGUACAAUAAGCGAUCAGAUGACUUUUCCCUUAUAAGUUAAUUCAGAGCCAUCAGUGUAGUGGGUUUUGUCUACCAUCUUCCACAAAUUCUUUGAAGAAUCAAAAUAAGUUGUCAAUGGAAAUAAGAUGUCAACUAUUUUGAAAUAAACAAUAUAAAUUAGUUAAUAAUUAUGUUUGAGAAACUCACAUUGCGGUAGAAUAAGAAGCGUAUCAACAAGGACCCAAAUGUCCAUAUUGUCUUGCUCAAUGUCAGGAUCACCAAGAUCCAUGGUGACAAUCAUACCCUCAUAGAAACCAUACAUUUUGCAAAGUGCUUCCCAAUUUUGGCAACCAAAAUGGGUUAUGCUCUGAGCAUUGCACAUAUUUACUUCAAAAUCCAUAUCAUGAUGGGUCCUUAGGUGUAUUUUCUUUGUUUCAAAAUUUUCAUGGUCUUCAAAACCCAUCCUCUACAAGACAUAGCAUAUGCAUGGCAUGGGAUAAGCUAGUCGAAUUGUAAAAGAUGAAAAUUAGACGUUGAAAUAGUUGAAGUCAUGCUUAAUUACAAAAAAAAACACUUGUCGUUCUUGCGUACCGUUUUAACAUCGAAUGUCUCCUCGAGCUUAAUGCUGAAGCGCCGAUCUUCGUCCAGCUCAAUGAACCUAUUGCACAUACCUCGAUCGUCGUGGCACCAGCUGCACUCCACCGGGAGACUCUCGUCGUCCGAGUACGACAUUUCCUACGUUCAUAAUUCAAAGAUUAAACUUGUACAUAUUCUACCACAAGUCAUGCCAGAAUUCACGGAAAAAUCUGGCAUGACCUUUGCUAAAAGAAGGACAUAUCGAGCGCCUGAAAUUUGCUGGAACGGAAAUUAAUCAACACUCCGGCAACACAUAGGCCACUCGGAGGUGUAACCUGAACAUGACCGGCCACUUGGGCAACCACAUAUCCUAUUUGAGCAACACAAUAUAUACAUGGAGAUUUGGCAGGUCUCACCUCGAGGUCGGAGGGGGUUGGUGACGGGGACGACGGCGGGGAUAAUGGAGGGUCUCCUUGAUUUCUGCAAAAGCAAAAACCAUAUAAGUUAUCACUAAUACAUCCCGAAUAAUUGCCUAAACUAAAAAAAUAACAACAAAUAUGACAUGUUCAAGUAGUUCUAUUAAUUCAACUAGUUCUUACUAAAUAUAAACUUACUAUAAAUAGAAAAAAAC